rnacentral:misc_RNA from 1 species
GAUGAAGAACGUAGCGAAAUGCGAUAAGUAAUGUGAAUUGCAGAAUUCAGUGAAUCAUCGAAUCUUUGAACGCACAUUGCGCCCCUUGGUAUUCCGAGGGGCAUGCCUGUUCGAGCGUCAUUAUAACCCCUCAAGCUCAGCUUGGUGUUGGGGCCUGCUGCACUGGCAGCCCUUAAAACCAGUGGCGGCGCCAUCUGGCUCUAAGCGUAGUAAUUCUUCUCGCUAUGGAGUCCUGGUGGAUGCUUGCCAUCAACCCCCAAUUUUUCUAUGGUUGACCUCGGAUCAGGUAGGGAUACCCGCUGAACUUAAGCAUAUCAUAAGCGGAGGA